CACCACUGUGCAGGUGAUCGAUGCCAUGCUUUGAUGUGCUCAUGAUAAUAUUGGUGCUGCCGUGAGCCUGCUAUUCAUUUGGGUGAUCCAAUCUAAUUAUAUUCCAGUUGGCUUUCUCAACUUGGCGUUUGCAUAUUGGGUUAACUGCAGAGGAAGCUCAGUAAGGAGUGGAACGCUGGUACUGCCGUGCCGCGGUGCCUCGUUCUGUCGCCGACGAGGAAGCUCGCUCAGUAGGAUUGGAGAGCAAUGCAACGGAGCUUCUUGGUUGUUGAUAUACUAGCAUCCGAGGCGAAUGCAUACCAGAAACUACUCCCUACUAACGUGAAACACUAUUUUAGAUGCAUCACAGGAGAAGAUAUUAAAUAGACUGUUUUAUUAGUCAGUGAUUCAUGUCUGGAAUUUUUGUUAAUUAUCUCCUUUUAUGAUUUAUGGUACAUUUGAAUGAACUAUUUUAUGGUAUAAUUUAUACUUCAUAUAGUAUGGUUAGAUAAUUUUCACUA